GAUGAACGCUGGCGGUCUGCUUAACACAUGCAAGUCGAACGAACUCUUCGGAGUUAGUGGCGGACGGGUGAGUAACGCGUGAGAGUCUAGCUUCAGAACGGGGACAACAGAGGGAAACCACUGCUAAUACCCGAUGUGCCGAGAGGUGAAAGAUUUAUCAUCUGAAGAUGAGCUCGCGUCCGAUUAGCUAGUUGGUAAGGUAAGAGCUUACCAAGGCGACGAUCGGUAGCUGGUCUGAGAGGAUGACCAGCCACACUGGGACUGAGACACGGCCCAGACUCCUACGGGAGGCAGCAGUGGGGAAUUUUCCGCAAUGGGCGAAAGCCUGACGGAGCAAGACCGCGUGAGGGAGGAAGGCUCUUGGGUUGUAAACCUCUUUCCUCUGGGAAGAAGAUCUGACGGUACCAGAGGAAUCAGCAUCGGCUAACUCCGUGCCAGCAGCCGCGGUAAUACGGAGGAUGCAAGCGUUAUCCGGAAUUAUUGGGCGUAAAGCGUCCGUAGGUGGCGGUUCAAGUCUGCCGUUAAAACCAGUAGCUUAACUACUGACAGGCGGUGGAAACUGAACAGCUAGAGUGUGGUAGGGGUAGAGGGAAUUCCCAGUGUAGCGGUGAAAUGCGUAGAGAUUGGGAAGACCACCGGUGGCGAAAGCGCUCUGCUGGACCACAACUGACACUCACAGGACAAAAGCUAGGGGAGCGAAAGGGAUUAGAUACCCCAGUAGUCCUAGCCGUAAACGAUGGAUACUAGGUGUAGUAGGUAUCGACCCCUACUGUGCCGUAGCUAACGCGUUAAGUA
rnacentral:rRNA from 1 species